rnacentral:lncRNA from 1 species
AUGGGGGCCUUCCAGAAACUGGCAUCUUUCCAGGAACUGGUGUCUUUAGUCUACUGUUUAGCCUUCAUAGUAGUUCAUUGAUGGCAGGAAAUUGUUGUUGAAGACAAUUUUAACUUCCUUUUACUAUCUGAUACAGAAGUUCCUAUUGCCUUGCUGUUAUAUCCUGUUAUAUUUUUAAUGGUUUGAUUGUUUUAGUUUUAUGGCUUUAUUAUUGGCAUAUGCUGCCUUUAGCAUUAAAAGGGCAGUACAGAGAAAGAAACACAAGCAUUUAAAAAAAAACUCCUAGACUCCUUUAUCAAUCCUACUGCAGAACAAAAUUCCACUCUAGAUUUAUGGUGGUAAUCCAGAGUAGAUUCACCCUUAUAUGGUUCAUGAGAAAAAUGGAGCAGGGGUAAUGUGGAGCAAGUGGAUUCUGUGCCAUUGUGAUUCAUCCAUUUAUAUCUCAUUUGCCCACACUACUGGAACUUGAGAUGACUUAUAAAAAUUAAAGGAUUCACAUGCUAAAUACAUCAAGAAAACAUAUGUGAAAACAUGUUGAUAUAUAAUGCAUAAAUGUACUUAUGCAAUCCAUAGAAUUAAAACCCUGAGAAACAAAUCCAUUACAAGAAACAGGACAAAAUCAGCAAAGCAGUACCACGCAAAAGUAUGAUUUGCCAGGUUCUUUAUUUCCUUUUCUUGAAGACCUUAUUCAAUUCCUAAUUAGUGUCAGUUAUGGAAAGCACAAUUGUGAAUAACCCUUUCACAUCUUGAUCUCAUAUACAGGAACCAGUUCAGUUAUUUACUUGCUUGAUUCCUGAACCAGGCUUGUUCAGCAUAAUGAAACUACAAGGUGGGUUUUUGUCAACUCUCUUGCCUAUUUUACCAGGCAUUGGUCAAUCCAUUGGGCUUCAUUCCAGCACAAAUGACGCUGAGGAAGACCUUGCAGCGCCAGGAUUAAAGGUAUAAACAGGAUUUCCUUCACAAUACACAGCACUCAAAAUAUUGCAGCAACAUCCAUACUACUAGAUGGAAGAUGAGGGAAAUAAAGAUGAGAGGGUCUGAAAAGCAAAACUUUGAAAAGCAAUUUCUGGACUAUAGCUCUGAAAAUUCCCCAACCACCAUGAUC